GGUGGAAGGUGAUUAAGGCUUUAAUAUAUAAUAUUAAGUUUAGGAAAGUCCAUGUUAGCACAUGUUUUAGGAAAAACAUGUAAUGUUUGUGCUUAAGGAAGAUAAUAACUUAAGGUACUUUAAUUAAAGUAACGGCUUUUUAGAUUCUAAGAACUUAUUUUUAAUAAGUUUAUGAAAAUAAAAAUAAAGUGCCACAGAGACGAUUUAAUUAGAAAUAAUUAAGUGAAACGCGGUAAACCCCUCAAGCUAACAACCCAAAAAAAGGUAGGGGCACAUAAAAUUGUCAUUUCCUAUUUUUGAUUUAGGCGAUUUUUAUGCUAUUUUGCAAUCUCAAAAUAGAGAUAAAUGAUCACAACUUAUUUAUUUAUUGAAAUAAGUACAGAACAUGGCUUAUGCAC
rnacentral:RNase_P_RNA from 1 species